rnacentral:rRNA from 1 species
GGAUUAGAUACCCUGGUAGUCCACGCCCUAAACGAUGAGAACUAGACGUUGGGCCCGAUUCGGGGCUUAGUGUCGAAGCUAACGCGUUAAGUUCUCCGCCUGGGGAGUACGGCCGCAAGGUUGAAACUCAAAGGAAUUGACGGGGGCCCGCACAAGCGGUGGAGCAUGUGGUUUAAUUCGAUGCAACGCGAAGAACCUUACCACCCCUUGACAUCCUCAGAACUUGUUAGAGAUAACUUGGUGCCUUCGGGAAUUGAGUGACAGGUGCUGCAUGGCUGUCGUCAGCUCGUGCCG